AUUGAACGCUGGCGGCAUGCCUUACACGUGCAAGUCGAACGGCAGCACGGGUGCUUGCACCUGGUGGCGAGUGGCGAACGGGUGAGUAAUAUAUCGGAACGUACCUUAUUGUGGGGGAUAACGCAGCGAAAGCUGUGCUAAUACCGCAUAAUCCCUAAGGGGGAAAGCGGGGGACCGUAAGGCCUCGCGCAAUUAGAGCGGCCGAUACCUGAUUAGCUAGUUGGUGAGGUAAAGGCUCACCAAGGCAACGAUCAGUAGCUGGUCUGAGAGGACGAUCAGCCACACUGGGACUAAGACACGGCCCAGACUCCUACGGGAGGCAGCAGUGGGGAAUUUUGGACAAUGGGGGCAACCCUGAUCCAGCAAUGCCGCGUGAGUGAAGAAGGCCUUCGGGUUGUAAAGCUCUUUUGUCAGGGAAGAAACAGCAGCUCUAACACAGUUUGCGAAUGACGGUACCUGAAGAAUAAGCACCGGCUAACUACGUGCCAGCAGCCGCGGUAA
rnacentral:rRNA from 1 species